rnacentral:rRNA from 4 species
GGGUAAGAACCUCACCUAUCUUGAUAUGUAGGUGGGGUUGUGAUAUAUUGUGCCCAGUGGGCCACUUUUGGUAAGCAGAACUGGCGCUGUGGGAUGAACCAAACGCAAUGUUACGGUGCCAAAAUUUACAACUCAUGCAGAUACCAUGAAAGGCGUUGCUUGCUUAAAACAGCAGGACGGUGGACAUGGAAGUCGUAAUCCGCUAAGGAGUGUGUAACAACUCACCUGCCGAAGCAACUAGCCCUUAAAAUGGAUGGCGCUUAAGUUGUAUACCUAUACAUUGCCGCUAAUGUAGAUGGUUUAUAUGUAAUUUUGGUUACAUAUAAAUUUUGAAACAUUAGUGAGUAGGAGGGUACAAUGGUGUGCCUAGAAGUGUUUGG